rnacentral:rRNA from 2 species
UGGGGAAUAUUGGACAAUGGGCGCAAGCCUGAUCCAGCCAUGCCGCGUGAGUGAUGAAGGUCUUAGGAUUGUAAAGCUCUUUCACCGGGGACGAUAAUGACGGUACCCGGAGAAGAAGCCCCGGCUAACUUCGUGCCAGCAGCCGCGGUAAUACGAAGGGGGCUAGCGUUGUUCGGAAUUACUGGGCGUAAAGCGCACGUAGGCGGAUAUUUAAGUCAGGGGUGAAAUCCCGGGGCUCAACCCCGGAACGGCCUUUGAUACUGGGUAUCUUGAGUGUGGUAGAGGUGAGUGGAAGUGCGAGUGUAGAGGUGAAAUUCGUAGAUAUUCGCAGGAACACCAGUGGCGAAGGCGGCUCACUGGACCACAACUGACGCUGAGGUGCGAAAGCGUGGGGAGCAAACAGG